AACCCCCCUCUUGCACCGGCGACUCACGUGGGAAGAAGAAUUCACUGAGCUGAAAUGGAGUGAGAGCUAAGAUGCUCUCAGAAUAUUCUUAAAAUGACUGUGCUGCAAAGAAGCCCGGGUGAAUAGAAGAAAAUAGAAGGAAUGGUGGAUACAAGUGAAGGUUAAAAUGAGACCCCAUUUAUCGCACCAGCUGUUGGUGAUUUCAGCGCACCUUUCCAAGCCUCUUGAGAGUUCUGCUCUAACCACACUGCCCCCUAGUGUUCUCUCGCUUUGGUGCAACACCUGUAAUCAGCUAUUUCUUCAGGGAGCCUGUGAUUCCUUUUAGUGGAAAAUGGUUUCUCAUACUUCCGGAGAAAUAGAAAGCACCAGAUGACAGCCACCACACACUUUUGUCCCCAUUGCAAUAGGAUGCUUCUAACAAUCGUAAAAUUAUGAAACACUGAAUUCCUUAAAAGUUGUCCAUUUGUGGAUUUAUCUGAUGGUAACUAUUAAAUAUUUAAAAGUAACUUUAAUGAAUCUACUUAUGAUGAUUGAGUAAUCUAUUCUCUGAAUUCCACCAAAAAACCAUUUUAUGACCACAGUCAUAACGAACAUAUUUCUAUAGUCCUAAGCUGGCAAGAUAAAUAGAGAACAGUUCAUAAUAUAAACAAUAUAUUUAUUUAUUCCUAAACUAAUAAGAUGACUAUCAAUCUGUAAGAGACUAUGA
rnacentral:lncRNA from 1 species